UGCUUUUACACACCUAAGUGCCACCAAGAUAGAAAUGAUUUGCUCAACAGUGCUCUGGACAUAAAAGAAUUCUUCGAUCACAAAAAUGGAACCCCCUUUUCAUGCUUCUACAGUCCAGCCAGCCAAUCUGAAGAUGUCAUUCUUAUAAAAAACGUGAUGUUACAGACUGCAGAGUUAAAGAAAAGCAGACAUUGACAGUUUCUGAUGAGCAUAAACAGUAAGUGCAGUCACAGGCCAAACUUCUUGCUAGGAACAGCAAGACUGGGAAGAGGUCUUAAAUUUAGUGAUACUGUUAUUAUUCUAUAUUCUCAAUAUAGUAACACAUGCAUCUUGCUGUGUCAAAUGCUUUCUGGGCCAUCAUUAAAAGGACAUUAAAAACGUUUUUCUUCUAAUGAAUGCAGUAUACCACAGGACUUCAAUUCACUGAAUGACAAAAUAUAGAGAAAUAAACUUGCUACAAUUAAUGGGGCCAAAA
rnacentral:lncRNA from 1 species